rnacentral:rRNA from 1 species
AACGUAACGCUGGCGGCAUGCCUAACACAUGCAAGUCGAACGAUGCCUUCGGGCAUAGUGGCGCACGGGUGCGUAACGCGUGGGAAUCUGCCCUUGGGUUCGGAAUAACUCAGAGAAAUUUGAGCUAAUACCGGAUGAUGACGUAAGUCCAAAGAUUUAUCGCCCAAGGAUGAGCCCGCGUAAGAUUAGCUAGUUGGUGGGGUAAAGGCCUACCAAGGCGACGAUCUUUAGCUGGUCUGAGAGGAUGAUCAGCCACACUGGGACUGAGACACGGCCCAGACUCCUACGGGAGGCAGCAGUGGGGAAUAUUGGACAAUGGGCGAAAGCCUGAUCCAGCAAUGCCGCGUGAGUGAUGAAGGCCUUAGGGUUGUAAAGCUCUUUUACCAGGGAUGAUAAUGACAGUACCUGGAGAAUAAGCUCCGGCUAACUCCGUG